UAGCUCAGUGGUAGAGUGCUUGCCUCACAUGCAUGAGGCCCUGGGUUCAAUUCCUCAG
rfam:Dipodomys ordii contig_21187, whole genome shotgun sequence.